rnacentral:rRNA from 1 species
AACGCUGGCGGCGUGCCUAAUACAUGCAAGUCGAGCGAGCGGAACUAACAGAUUUACUUCGGUAAUGACGUUAGGAAAGCGAGCGGCGGAUGGGUGAGUAACACGUGGGGAACCUGCCCCAUAGUCUGGGAUACCACUUGGAAACAGGUGCUAAUACCGGAUAAGAAAGCAGAUCGCAUGAUCAGCUUUUAAAAGGCGGCGUAAGCUGUCGCUAUGGGAUGGCCCCGCGGUGCAUUAGCUAGUUGGUAAGGUAAAGGCUUACCAAGGCGAUGAUGCAUAGCCGAGUUGAGAGACUGAUCGGCCACAUUGGGACUGAGACACGGCCCAAACUCCUACGGGAGGCAGCAGUAGGGAAUCUUCCACAAUGGACGCAAGUCUGAUGGAGCAACGCCGCGUGAGUGAAGAAGGUUUUCGGAUCGUAAAGCUCUGUUGUUGGUGAAGAAGGAUAGAGGUAGUAACUGGCCUUUAUUUGACGGUAAUCAACCAGAAAGUCACGGCUAACUACGUGCCAGCAGCCGCGGUAAUACGUAGGUGGCAAGCGUUGUCCGGAUUUAUUGGGCGUAAAGCGAGCGCAGGCGGAAGAAUAAGUCUGAUGUGAAAGCCCUCGGCUUAACCGAGGAACUGCAUCGGAAACUGUUUUUCUUGAGUGCAGAAGAGGAGAGUGGAACUCCAUGUGUAGCGGUGGAAUGCGUAGAUAUAUGGAAGAACACCAGUGGCGAAGGCGGCUCUCUGGUCUGCAACUGACGCUGAGGCUCGAAAGCAUGGGUAGCGAACAGGAUUAGAUACCCUGGUAGUCCAUGCCGUAAACGAUGAGUGCUAAGUGUUGGGAGGUUUCCGCCUCUCAGUGCUGCAGCUAACGCAUUAAGCACUCCGCCUGGGGAGUACGACCGCAAGGUUGAAACUCAAAGGAAUUGACGGGGGCCCGCACAAGCGGUGGAGCAUGUGGUUUAAUUCGAAGCAACGCGAAGAACCUUACCAGGUCUUGACAUCUAGUGUCAUUUGUAGAGAUACAAAGUUCCCUUCGGGGACGCUAAGACAGGUGGUGCAUGGCUGUCGUCAGCUCGUGUCGUGAGAUGUUGGGUUAAGUCCCGCAACGAGCGCAACCCUUGUUAUUAGUUGCCAGCAUUAAGUUGGGCACUCUAAUGAGACUGCCGGUGACAAACCGGAGGAAGGUGGGGAUGACGUCAAGUCAUCAUGCCCCUUAUGACCUGGGCUACACACGUGCUACAAUGGGCGGUACAACGAGAAGCGAGCCUGCGAAGGCAAGCGAAUCUCUGAAAGCUGUUCUCAGUUCGGACUGCAGUCUGCAACUCGACUGCACGAAGCUGGAAUCGCUAGUAAUCGCGGAUCAGCACGCCGCGGUGAAUACGUUCCCGGGCCUUGUACACACCGCCCGUCACACCAUGGGAGUCUGCAAUGCCCAAAGCCGGUGGCCUAACCUUCGGGAAGGAGCCGUCUAAGGCAGGGCAGAUGACUGGGGUGAA